GUGGUGGGGGUGGUGGAGUAGUAGAGUGGUGGGGUGGUGGAGUGGUGGAGUGGUGGGGUGUAGUGAGUCACACAGUCAAACAAGCUCUGGACCUCCCGGACAAGCUGCCUGUUAGGUAUUAUACACAGACAGGGUCUAAGGCAGAGGACAAAGCUAAACUUAAAACAAACUCUAAAACAGAGGGACCAACCCGGUCAGUCUGCCUGUCUGCCUGCCUGGCUAGCUGGAAUGAGUCAUGCAGGUUGGGGAGGCCCCGGGAAAGAUGUUUGUUAGACCAACAGAGACACGAAACCCCAAUGUAGACCAGCUACUAGACUUAACACAGAGGAGACCCCCACUGUAGACCAGCUACUGGGGUUAACACAGAGGAGACCCCACUGUAGACCAGCUACUAGAGUUAACACAGAGAGACCCCACUGUAGACCAGCUACUAGAGUUAACACAGAGGAGACCCCCACUGUAGACCAGCUACUAGAGUUAACACAGAGGAGACCCCACUGUAGACCAGCUACUAGAGUUAACACAGAG
ensembl:lncRNA